rnacentral:rRNA from 1 species
AUUGAACGCUGGCGGCAGGCCUAACACAUGCAAGUCGAACGAGUGGCGGACGGGUGAGUAAUGUCUGGGAAACUGCUUGAUGGAGGGGGAAAAUUACUGGAAACGGUAGCUAAUACCGCAUAGCAUCAGCUGAGCCCAGGUGGGAUUCGCUAGUUGGUGGGGGAACGGCUUACCAAGGCGACGAUCCAUAGCUGGUCUGAGAGGAUGACCGGCCACACUGGAACUGAGACACGGUCCAGACUCCUACGGGAGGCAGCAGUGGGGAAUAUUGCACAAUGGGCGCAAGCCUGAUGCAGCCAUGCCGCGUGUAUGAAGAAGGCCUUCGGGUUGUAAAGUACUUUCAGCGGGGAGGCGUUACCCGCAGAAGAAGCACCGGCUAACUCCGUGCCAGCAGCCGCGGUAAUAC